rfam:Fukomys damarensis contig157106, whole genome shotgun sequence.
AUCGCUUCUCGGCCUUUUGGCUAAGAUCAAGUGUAAAAUUAAAAUCAUCCAGGGAACUUCUGAUGAUCAGUUUAUUCGCCCAAACCAACAGAAACAUAAUCUUUAAAGGUGGAGCCUGAGUAUUAGCUUUUUAAAUUUUUAACUCACAUGUACUCAAAACUGCAAGGUUUACAAACCCCCAGCCUUGUCCAACCUCUU